rnacentral:lncRNA from 1 species
CCUUAAUGUGUGGUCCCCUGGGCGGGGGAGUGUCUGAGAACACGGAAAUGAGAGCUAGGACCCCAAAGGCAAGCCCUUUGGUCCUCCCCUUCCACCAGUGCCCAGCUCUUUUGGCCCCUUUAAGCUGCUGGUGAGGUCUUUGACUCCUUAAGGACAGAAGCCCGAGUUCCUUCCCCUGCACCCCAAACCUGGAGUCCUGGCACUGUGCUAAGCAGAGGUUACUCACGGGAGUCGUUCCAGACCUGCCUCCGCUGCUUACGAGUGGAUGUGAGGACCAACAAGGCAGCAUGUGGAGAGCCUUGGUUUGGUGUGAUUUCCUUGUGCUGAGCCCUUUCCUGGCUGAGCCUUUGGGACAGCGUUUGGACCCCAGCAGAGAGCCAGGCAAUAUGUGCUCACUAAACCCUGGGACAUCAAGACGAUGGGGGCAGCCCGAAAAUGCCGCCCCUGUGCCACCAGCAAACAGCGCGCACCAGGGAGAGCCUGGCAGGAGGCCAGGCCUUGUUUUCC